AUUUUAAAUGGGCAUGCCAGCUUCGGUUUAGUUGCUUUUGUCUCCAUGUUGUCCAAGGGUUAUGUCGGCCAUGAUCCUAAUAUUAUCAUGGGUUUAGCAGAGUUGUUUAACUUGCAAACUGGAUUGAAGAUUUUGAAUAAAUUUUUGUGUUCUUAAUAUGGUCACAAGUUUGUACUUGUUUAAAACCCUCAAUCAUUUGAAAAUUAUGGCGCCGACAUGGUAGAUGUCCUAGAAAAAACUGGUAGUAACUCAAUGUAGAUACACAUAGUCGAUGGAGUUACUUGCUAAUAACUGGCAAUGAGACAUAUUUGCUUCAAAUGAUGCCUUUAAAGUUUGAAAAGAUUUUUUCUAAUUUAAAUGUCGACUUUUUGUUACAUGAAAAAAGAUACUUAUUUCAACCGCUCAACUAUAUUGAUACACUUAGUAUGUGGAGUUACUUGUCAAUAGCUGGCGAUGAAACUUUUAAACGUAACGUCUUUAAGGGCUGAGAAGGUAAAAAUUAGAAGUCUGCAGACUGCAACGUAAAUCGAUUUCAACACGUUAUGGCUUCUCGAAUAUAUUUAGUUUCCGAUUGAAAUGAGAAUAAACUGAACUUAUAUAUAAAGUGUUUACAAUUAACUUUUUAAACUAGAAAUACUCCAAAGGAGGUUCUCCAAACGCAAGUUAAGCAAAGUCGAUAGAUGUUAAUAUCUUUUAUAUUAUGUUUUAGAUAUAAAAAAAAAUUUUUGUUACUUUAAUAUUUAUGUUAUAAUUGUAAAUUGCCAU
rnacentral:lncRNA from 1 species